rnacentral:rRNA from 1 species
UACAGGGGGGGCAAGCGUUGUUCGGAAUUACUGGGUGUAAAGGGUCUGUAGGUGGCCAACUAAGUCAGACGUGAAAUCCCUCAGCUUAACUGGGGAACUGCGUCUGAUACUGGAUGGCUUGAGUGUGGGAGAGGAAUGCGGAAUUCCAGGUGUAGCGGUGAAAUGCGUAGAUAUCUGGAGGAACACCUGCGGUGUAGACGGCUUUCUGGACCAUUGUUGACGCUGAGACACGAAAGCGUGGGUAGCAAACAGG